CACCGCUAUCCACAGGAACCUUAUCCCCACCCCCCGCAAGACCUAUCUAGUUCGUCCCUUGCCGAUGUUCUCUCUCCAAGUCCUUGAAAUCCCAGCACCGGCGGGUGGAGCGGCGCCGGAGCCGAUACGAGCGGCGGAGCUGCGUCCAUGGAUGAUCUCCUUCCCCUUAUCUCUCUGUAGUAGCCAUGGAUAGACCCCUUCCCCUUCUUUCCUCAGCAGCCAUGGAUGAACUCCAUCCCCUUCUCUCUCAAGUAGCCAUGGAGGGACUCCUUCCCCUUCUCUCCUCAGCAGCCAUGGAUGAACUCCAUCCCAUUUCUUUCCCCAGAAGCCAUAUGAACUCCAUCGGUCCAUCCCCUUCAUCACCCAUCCUUAACCCUCUUUUUUUUUCCUACAACUGUUUUAGAAGCUACAACUGGCCAUGAAAAAAGUUGCGUCCAUACUCUAAGGUGCUGGAACCGGCUAGGGAAAAAGCUACGACCACCUUAAUCGGAGGUGCUGGAAUCGGUGAUGCAUGCCUACAACAACGAGUGAGGGGACGGCCAUGGCGGUGACGAGGGAGCUGCGAUGGCGGGUUGGGGCACGAAGACCUACAGGAUGGGUGGACGAGCACGUGUAAUGAGGCGGACGGUGCAGCGAUGUGGCAGAGACAAGCGGGGGGAGAAGAUUGGGGUGAAAGGGGAUGCGUUGACUUUGAUCGAACGGUCACACGCAUGCUAAUCUGACGGUGGGUGGUGGACCUGCCCAAAAGUUAGGCCGGCGCACCGGCGCCUAUCAGUCCCCAUAUUUUUAUGCUCAAUGUCUCGGAUUUUAUGCCAAUACAGAUCGGACACAUUUGGUCGCCUUUUCGCUGUCAGGUGCCGAACAAGUACAAUAGCUAAAGUUAGCACCUUUUUCGGCAAACUAGUUGCUGAGUUUUACAAGCUGCCCAUAUUUUAGGCCAGCGGGUAAACAGCUUCAUAAAUUGAAUAAGAAAAAUAAAAUGUGUUCCACACACUACUGAUAUCCCCUCCAAAGCUGAUACAAGUAUCAAAGGGUGUUUGGGGCAGCUGACUUCUGUCUGGGAAAGGCAGAUGUUUAUCUACAUGAAAUAUUGUCAAAUCAGGCAUCUAGAUCUGUUUAACAUGUAGAUAUUGGAUGCAAUGCUGUAAUCAUUUUCAAUAAAAGGAAAAGGAACCCUCUGAAUCGGAUCGGAGCUCCAAUGA